UCAGAUAGGGAGCAUUGAGAAUCCAUCUUCCUCAGCUCGUUUUCUUACUCAGUGCAUCUUCUUUUAUGUCCUGCCAUGAAAGCAGCAGCACUCUGCCAUUAUCCUAGGUGGACCACUUUCUUUCUCUUAGAAGGUAGUUCCCCUGACCUUCUGUGACCACUCCCUUAGGCCUCUUGAGAACCACCUGGGACUCUUGCAUCUGAAUUUCUUGGUUUAAUCAUACACUUCAUCACACCAGGCUGAAAAAGAGGGACAGGAGGAAAAGGAGGAAGUGGAAGAAGCCCUGAAGGACUCAGUCAUGAGGCUCAUAAGACAUCCUCCAUUUACUGUGAACUGCCUGAUAUCCACCAACCUCCCUGCCCAAGUGUUGACCUGUUGGGUGUCAUGACUUGUCUCACUUCCCUGGCCUCCCAAGCAAGAGUACAGCCUCCCUCCCUGAGGAACAUGUGGUUUACUCUACUCUGGAUGUGUCCAGCAUAUCAAGGACCUCCUCACCCAGCAUGACCCUGAGGGCCAUCGAGAGGAACUGGCUGAAGAGCACAAGUUGGCAGAGCACUUUGUAAGGUGCCCAGAGGCCCUGCUCACAGGAAGCUGCUCCAAGGUGCCCAGCUCAUGAGAGAUUCCAUU